GUACAAGGUCGAGGAGGAAUGAAAAUUAACAAAUAAAUGUAAACAUAACCCUAAAGUGUCAGAGCCACCAAGUGUCAAACCAGUAUGCAAGGACUUGUUAAAAGAAGCAAAUUAGCAGUUAAGAGAGCUGAAUUGCAACUGAAAAUGAAAAAGGGAAGAAAAGAAGGGAAACAGGGAACAGCACACAGUCACAUCAUCAGAAAGAACCUUACAAUUACCAGAGAGAGACGUCGUGCAUGAGUUGAAUUAAAGAAUAUUAAAGAAGAAUGAGAAUAAUAUGAAAAUGUCCAAGGAAUAUCAAGGACGUACAGGCAACAAAUCAAGAAUCAAGAAAUCAAGAAGGCGAUAAUGAAAUAAAAUAAAAUAGCGAUAAACAGUGAUGGCGUGGCACAGAUAAAGUAUAAAAAUAUAAACCGAAUGGAGGAAACCAUAAAUAAGUACAUUAAACAUAUUAAUACCAUCCACGACACUCCGUACCAUCAUGAAGAUCAAAAUAAGCUACAUCAUAUCAAUUACUUUAAUUCAAUUCA